GUGAGGAAUAUUGGGCAAUGGAGGCAACUCUGACCCAGCCAUGCCGCGUGCAGGAAGACGGUCCUAUGGAUUGUAAACUGCUUUUAUACGGGAAGAAACACCCCCUCGUGAGGGGACUUGACGGUACCGUAAGAAUAAGGAUCGGCUAACUCCGUGCCAGCAGCCGCGGUAAUACGGAGGAUCCAAGCGUUAUCCGGAAUCAUUGGGUUUAAAGGGUCCGUAGGCGGCCUUAUAAGUCAGUGGUGAAAUCUCCUAGCUCAACUAGGAAACUGCCAUUGAUACUGUAGGGCUUGAAUUAUUGUGAAGUAACUAGAAUAUGUAGUGUAGCGGUGAAAUGCUUAGAUAUUACAUGGAAUACCAAUUGCGAAGGCAGGUUACUAACAAUAUAUUGACGCUGAUGGACGAAAGCGUGGGUAGCGAACAGGAUUAGAAACCCCUGUAGUCC
rnacentral:rRNA from 1 species